GUAAUCUCGGUGGGAUUUCCCUCUUUGGAUCCGUCCUCAGAUUCGGCUCUUUCUGCACUUCCUAAAAGCUCUUCUCCUCCUCUGCACUCACUUCCUCUAUGAGAUGGCACUACACCACAGCUGUUUUCAGUUUCAGAAUUACUCUCUGCAAAUGAAUCCCACUUCGUUGGAGCAGUGGCUGUCAUUUAGUUCCCCAGAAUAUGAAAUCUCCCCACAGUCCUCUCCUUCCUCUCCCAGACCGUGCUGUUUCCAGUCAUCUGGCUUUCCGGGAUUCCAGCGUCUGUGAAUAAUGCCAAUCCACAAAUGUCACACCAUUCCAUCUGAAUAUACCACCAACAACAAAUAUUUAAACAGAUGGAAUUUUUUGUUUAAUGCAAGAUGCAUUUACUUGACGAGCAAAAGCUUGAAGUACAUUAUCUUGAAGUAUAGCUGCUUCCUUUCCUACUCAUGAUUACAAUUUGCAAUAAUUGGAAGAUGGAAAACUAUGUGACCAUUAUCCACCUUAUUUUUAACGUAAGAGUGGUGUGGUCAUUUCUGGCUUGAAUGUGUGAGGCUUCCGGUAUCGGGUUUUACCUGUACAAUCUGUUAUGCUGCUUAAUAUUGCAAACUGGUAUUUACACAUCACAUUAUUUUAAUUAUCAUAUACCAAAAACACAUUGGUUUGUAGUUCAAAUAGUUUUACUGUUUACUGCACUUUGUUAUUUUUCUUUUUUUUUUUUUCUGAGAACAUGUAAUCAAACAUGUCUGGGGUAUAUAAAAAGAAAAAGAAGUUCUUACUUUUAGAUUUUGUUUCCAAAUACAUUUUAAAUUUUUGUAUUUCCAAUGUGUGAACAGCUAAUAAUGAAACUUAAAAACUGAGAACUUCCCCGACUUCCUAGGUUGUCUAUGAAAGCCUGUAGACUGACUUUUAUGUGAAGAACUCAGAAAUCAAAAGGAUGUGAUAGUUAGACUUACUCCCGAGAGCCUCUCUUCUGUUCACUGACACAUGAAACAAACAAUGUUCAGGAUAAUGCUGAAAGCCAUGCUGUACUGAAAUGUAAAUGUGUCAUGCAAAGAAAAGGGAUUAAUUAAAACUAUAGUCUCACAUA